rnacentral:rRNA from 1 species
AGGCCUUGGGGUUGAAACAACCUUAACCUAUUCUCAAACUUUAAAUAUGUAAGAAGCCCUUGUUGCUUAAUUGAACGUGGGCAUUAGAAUGAUGCGUUACUAGUGGGCCAUUUUUGGUAAGCAGAACUGGCGAUGCGGGAUGAACCGAACGCGAGGUUAAGGUGCCGGAAUACACGCUCAUCAGACACCACAAAAGGUGUUAGUUCAUCUAGACAGCAGGACGGUGGCCAUGGAAGUCGGAACCCGCUAAGG